rnacentral:rRNA from 1 species
GACGGAGGAUGCAAGUGUUGUCCGGAAUCACUGGGCGUAAAGCGUCUGUAGGUGGUUUAAAAAGUCUGCUGUUAAAAGUUGAAGCUUAACUUCAAAGAUGCCGUAGAAACUUUUAAACUUGAGGAUGGUAGGGGUAGAGGGAAUUUCCAGUGGAGCGGUGAAAUGCGUAGAUCUUGGAAUGACCACCAAUGGCGAAGGCACUCUACUGGGCCAUUACUGACACUGAGAGACGAAAGCUAGGGGAGCAAAUGGG